rnacentral:rRNA from 1 species
UACGUAGGGGGCAAGCGUUGUCCGGAAUCAUUGGGCGUAAAGAGCGUGUAGGCGGCCCGUUAAGUCCGCCGUGAAAGUCCAGGGCUCAACCCUGGAAUGCCGGUGGAAACUGUCGGGCUGGAGUCCGGAAGAGGCGAGUGGAAUUCCUGGUGUAGCGGUGAAAUGCGCAGAUAUCUGGAGGAACACCGGUGGCGAAGGCGGCAUCCUGGACCGGCAUUGACGCUGAGGCGCGAAAGCCAGGGGAGCAAACGGG